AACGCACGAGACCUGCGGACCUGCGGAAGGAUCAUUUAUGAGCGAGGGAUUAGUCUUUGGACUAAUACCUAAGCGUAAUAUAAUAUCCAUAUACAUUGUGAAUUGUUAGUUGGCUUGAUAGCCAUUUUACAAUACUAUGUGUAAUGAACGUUUUUUAUUAAAAUACAAUAAAACUUUCAACAACGGAUCUCU
rnacentral:misc_RNA from 1 species